AGGUUAGUACAUUUCGAGUUUGGAUCGAAACAGCUAGAUGGCUUAGGUAAGCGUAGUUUUACCUUGGACGAUUCGUCGUUAGUUGGAGCCUGGAAAUAUAUGAAUGCACAACGAAGAGAGAUCAAUUAGUUAACAUCACAGAACAUAGGGUUUGAGGUUGGAGAGAAAUCACGAAUUUGACGAAAGGAAAUGGAGCGAAGACUGACCUUCUUUCCGGGUGGUCCGCUUCCUCCGCCUAAUGAUUGUAUUCCUUUGUGUACAACAUACUCGCUAUCGACUACUCCCACCUUCUUUGUUCGAUCUCCCUGCAUAUCGGUUAAUUAAAAGUCUCAGCUUUGAAGCUGUAAUUAGAAGGUUUGGAAAGUGCUUCCUAC
rnacentral:lncRNA from 1 species